rnacentral:tRNA from 1 species
GGCCCCGUUGCUUAGCCUGGUUAGAGCGCUGCUCUUAUAAAGCAGAGGUCCCGGGUUCAAAAUUGAUGUACUAAAAUAGUAUGUUGAUGUGUCUCCCGGCGGGGCCA